AGUGGCGGCACCGGUGAGGAAUACAUCGGAAUCUACUUUUUCGUGGGGGAUAACGCAGGGAAACUUACGCUAAUACCGCAUACGACCUACGGGUGAAAGCAGGGGAUCUUCGGACCUUGCGCGAUUGAAUGAGCCGAUGUCGGAUUAGCUAGUUGGCGGGGUAAAGGCCCACCAAGGCGACGAUCCGUAGCUGGUCUGAGAGGAUGAUCAGCCACACUGGAACUGAGACACGGUCCAGACUCCUACGGGAGGCAGCAGUGGGGAAUAUUGGACAAUGGGCGCAAGCCUGAUCCAGCCAUACCGCGUGGGUGAAGAAGGCCUUCGGGUUGUAAAGCCCUUUUGUUGGGAAAGAAAUCCAGCUGGUUAAUACCCGGUUGGGAUGACGGUACCCAAAGAAUAAGCACCGGCUAACUUCGUGCCAGCAGCCGCGGUAAUACGAAGGGUGCAAGCGUUACUCGGAAUUACUGGGCGUAAAGCGUGCGUAGGUGGUUGUUUAAGUCUGUUGUGAAAGCCCUGGGCUCAACCUGGGAACUGCAGUGGAAACUGGACGACUAGAGUGUGGUA
rnacentral:rRNA from 1 species